rnacentral:rRNA from 1 species
CUACGGGUUGCUCCAGUGGGGAAUAUUGGACAAUGGGGGAAACCCUGAUCCAGCAAUGCCGCGUGUGUGAAGAAGGCCUGCGGGUUGUAAAGCACUUUCGGUUGGGAGGACUGCUUCUAGCACUAAUAUUGUUGGAAGUUGACGUUACCUUCAGAAGAAGCACCGGCUAACUCCGUGCCAGCAGGCCGCGGUAAUACGGAGGGUGCAAGCGUUAAUCGGGAAUUACUGGGCGUAAAGCGCGCGUAGGCGGCUAGAUCAGUCGGGUGUGAAAGCCCCGGGCUUAACCUGGGAACUGCAUCCGAUAAUGGCUAGAUUGAGGACAGGAGAGGAGAGUGGAAUUCCAAAUGUAGCGGUGAAAUGCGUAGAUAUGUGGAGGAACACCAAUGGCGAAGGCAGCUCUCUGGGCUGAUACUGACGCUGAGGUGCGAAAGCGUGGGGAGCAAACAGGAUUAGAUACCCUAGUAGUC